UAGCUAGUUGGUGGGGUAAUGGCCUACCAAGGCAACGAUCAGUAGCCGGCCUGAGAGGGUGAACGGCCACAUUGGGACUGAGACACGGCCCAAACUCCUACGGAAGGCAGCAG
rnacentral:rRNA from 1 species